rnacentral:lncRNA from 1 species
CAAAGAGAUAUACUAACAAACAACAUUGAUGAGAAGGAGAUUCUGUUAAUAGGAGGAAGGAAAAGCAUCAAAGGCCCCCAAGUCUCAUACAGGGCUACUCCUUCAACCUGGGUUCCAGAAGGAAGAAGACAUGGAGCAAAACUGUAUGGACAAUGUAAUGUGAACAAGAAAUAAAGCAUCAUUUUUGUGUCUGACCCAUGCUUCAAGUGCCAUCUCUUAUAAGAAGUCUUCAGUGAUUCCUCUAGCUAAACGUAAUCCUACCUACUGCAUAGAAUUGUUAGGAAGAGUAAAGAACAAAUUUAUGCACUGGACAUACACUAAUCAAGAAAAAGACAAAAAAUCUCUCAUGAAGUUUACAUUAUAGUGAAAGAAACCAACAAUUAAAAAUGAUAUAUCAGCUGUGAAAAUAAGUGAAAGAAAGAUUUUCUUAUCUCCAACAUUUCUGGGAAGGGGUGUGUCUGUGGAUUUUAUGUUACUGGAAAGAGACAAUCCAGUAGUCCACUUUGUCAGGAGUGUUUCAAACAACAUCUGUGAACCCACUGGACUUCAAGCUCCUACAGGCUAGAGAUUUGGUCUAUUUCAUCUGCAUUGUGAAAGGUCCUGGAGACUGAGAAUCAGGAAUUACUAGACUAUAAUGGAUGAGAUUUAUAAAAAAUAAGAUGAAGGUAAGCAGCUGUGCACAGCUGCUCUGCUAUAUUGGGAGGAAACUAGAACAAAGACACAAAACAAGAGUUGCAAGGGUAUAUGUACAUGUUCUGCCUGUGUUUAAGAGCCUAUCUAUGUUGCAUUUUGAGUUAUCUUGCUGGAGGAUAAGUUUGCAAGUUUGAGGCAAAAAGGCUUUGUGCUCUUGUGGUAAGAUCAUCAGGGAACAGCUCUCUGGAGGUGGUGCAGUGCAUAAGAGAGAAACUGGCUAGUGGUGGAAAUAAUACACUCCUUGGAAAAAGUAAAAGGAAAAUGUAAAAUGGAGUCUACCUUCUGGAUGCAAAGAAAUUCUCAUCAUCACGUGAUAGCAAGGUAGAAAAUAUGGUGACAACAAAAUUUUGACCAUUUAUAAAUAAUAAGGGAACUUCCAAAAAAGAAGGGAAAUGUUUGGAGACCAAAAUUAAGAGAAGCCACAAU